CACCGGGUGACUGAAAGUAAGUGUAGGUCUUUUAAACCUAUAAUAGUAACUAACGACUACUUCCGAUGA
rnacentral:tRNA from 1 species